UCAUGACCUUGUGCUUGCGAGGCAGGUGCGGUGCCACUGAGCUGAAUCCCUGGUCCGAGAGUGAAUUUUUUACUAUAAAACUAAGAACAAAAGUGUUAGUCAAAAUGUGGCUAACAUGGGAGAGGGGAUUACUUUUCCUAGAAUCACUUAAUCCAAAAGAUUUAUCUCAGAAGGGAAACUUGGGUUAGAUAUUAUAUCAGUUAUAUAUCCUUUAUGAUGAAGUACUCCAAAGUUAAUAGGGUUAAAACAACAGUUUGAUGUUUUUCAUUUUUUUCUUUUUAGGAGUCAGGAACUCAAGGUUCUGCCUGGAAAAUUACUUGAGGUGUAUCAAGUGAAUAGUUAUAUACUAAAUGAGCCACAACCCUAGGAAAGCUUCAACGGGCUGAGAUUCCAAGGUGGCUCAUUCCCCUACCAGGUGGGUUUUGCUGGCAGUUGGCUGAGAGCUUAGGUGGGGCUGCCAGCCAGGGCAUGUACCUAUGGCCUCUCUAUGUGUCCUCAACUUCCUCACAGUGUGGUUGCCUCAAGUAGUUGGGCUUAUGUGACAGGUCAGGGAGAUAGAAGUUUCUCAGUGGACAGGUAGAAGCUGUAUUAUUCCUUAUAAUGAGAUUCUCAUAGGCCUUAUUAGUUUCUUUUUCUAUAUCACUGCAGUUGCAAUUGAGUCAGAAGCCCAUAUAGAUGCCUGGAGGGUAGGCAUAGACCCCAUGUUUGGUCAAAGGAAAGUCCAAAAUUUCUAGACAUUGAAAAAAAUAAGAAAUAACCUCUUAAUUUAUUUCCAACUUAAAAUAUCUGAUAUUACUCAAGUUAUUGGCUGAUAAUAAGACUUUUAAUGGAAACAGGGACGUUUAAUACCUUCUUCUAAAUCACCUGGGGAUUAUAUCUGGGCUUUCAUGAAAUUUUUCAUUAAAUUAAACAUAUGUUUCAUUAAAUUAAACAUGUUUCAUUAAAUUAAACAUAUGUUUCAUUAAACAUAAAGGAUUUUUAGCUUGAUUUACAUGAGUACAUACAUGCUGGAUAUUAUGAAAAAUACACAACUCAAAUUCUGAAUUCUCUCAAGUAAUUUAUCAGAAAUUAUGAAAAUGAAUGAAUAGAUCUAAAGAAAUUUGAUAAAUCAGGAGAGUUCAGCUCACUUAGACCAAUAGGGAGGUUGUAAUGAAACAGGCAAGCAAUUGACAAGUGCAGGCAAUUUGGGAUUUCUACAUUGUCUUGCUGCAUAAAAAUAUACAUUGAAAAAUUUAAAAAUUGAAUUUAUAAAUUGCAUUUUGUGACGGAUAAACUUGGAGUGUUGUGCCUUUUUUUUUUUUUUGUACCGGGGAUUGAAUUUAGGUCCUUGUGCUUGCGCAGCAGGCGGCGAAACCACUGAGCUAAGUCCCCGGCCAGAGUGUUGUGCCUUAUGGAAUAUAGAGUUAUGCUUAUCCAGACAGAGACCUAACCCUUAAUCUAGUCUCAGUUCCAAUAACUACUGAAGACACUGUAUUUAUGCCCAUUCCCACUAUUCAUUGUCUCGCCAGUUUCUAAAGGCAUCAAUCUCUGGAUUAUUGCUUUUUCUUGGCUACUUGAAUUUGUUGCUCCAUGUGUCCUAUAUUUGACCCUAGACAUAUUUGAACUCAAUGUCUGCAACUAUAAGUAGGUUUUAGAGCUUUAAAAAUCUAUUCAUAAUAACCCAUUACCCAACCUGGAUUUGUAUUGUUGUCCCCAGAAAGUCCUGAUGGGCCUACUCACCUUCAUCGUGUUGCUCAGGUCUAGCUACUGUAAAUUACCCUUCUGAAAUUUUAGUGAAAGAGCUUUGCUUCUCAUAAUUUUUUUCUCAGUUGAAGAAGCACAUCUAUGUUUUCAGAGCAUAAUCUUUAAGAAAUCAAAUAUAUGGAGGAAUAAAUCCAACUUCAAUCUUUUCUUUAUGUUUCUCUCUUCUUUUACUGAUUAAAAAAUAGAAAUGGUAAUUGAAACCUUGACUUUUCCACCAUUUAUUUUAUCCACUGAUUGAAAGUUUUAUUAUCUCCUUUCACAUUGAUCAAAGAUUUUGAGGAAAUAGUUGCAGAAUAUUAGACAGAAUUCUAGGAUACUACUUUACUGCUGCAGGGCUAAUUUAAGAGCCAUUCAUAUAUACAAAAGGGAACCCAGACAGUACUUUCAAAGACUGCUUUUAAAAAUGUACCCUGCUAUCUGUCUAGUAAGCAGUUUUCUUGCUUUCAUAUUUUGGCCUUAAUUUUAAUUCAAGUCAUACUUUCAUUCACUACACUACAAUAGGAGACAUCCAUGAAACUGAUUAGCUUGACAUUAAAUCACAACUUUCUGUUGGUACAUAAGUACUACUGUAAUGUCAUAAGAGUGAAAAGGGACACUAUAGCAGCCCCAUAGAUGAGAAUUCAAACAUGAUAAUUUAGACACACAAAGGACUGGUUUUCGGGUUUUGUAGUGAAAUCUUUCUGUCUCAUUCUGUAGCCUUUUUGUGCCUUUAAACAACAAACUCAUUUGCAACAGACUACAAAACAAUCCCUGCAAGAGAUAGAAGUCUAUUCCUUCACCAACACUCUUCUUUGUGGAAGGUUUCUACCCUGGGUUGAUUUUAAACUUUCUCAGGCUUUUUGUGUAUGGCCCAGUUUGCAAUAACCCAAUUGUGUCAGAUGGAUCACCGUAUCCAGAUAUAAGCUCAGAGUUCAGGCCAACAUUUGACCAAUGUCUGCAAAAUCCAGUCAGAUUAUUUAUUUUUUGGAAGCCGAAACAGAGCUGAAAUAUGGUUUGAGUUUUUGCAUCAAAUGUUUUCUUGAAAAAACCAGAGUUUUCUGCUGUAAAAUGACCAGUGAUGAAGUAAGAAAGUGAAAUAAGGCAGCAUAUUUUUCAGGGAUCUGUAUGCUCUUACUGUGGCAUCAAUGACUCAUUUAUUACAUUAUUUUUAUUUAUUACUGAUGGUUAUGAUCAUUCCAUCACCAUAGCCAAAGAGAUGUCACGAAGAAGGGUGCAGAACAGAUUCUCAAAGGUCAUUAUAGCUUGAUAAAUUUGGGAUACUUGACUGGGCCCUACAAAUUUUAUCUGAAGAAUAUUUGGUUACUUUGGAAGGUGACAGCUUGUUCCUUCACUGUCCUCAGGGAGCAGGUUGUGGAUCCAGAAGCUGAGUGGUGGGGGUGCUCAUAGCAAGAAAUAAUUAAAAAGCUGACAACAAAUGUUAAACAUUUUCUCAUGAGAGUUAUUGCCUGAACUAGCAGUAGUAUAAACACAAUUUUCAGAAUAUUUAAGUGAACUGAAAGAACAACAAACAAUAACAGCAAAAAUAAAAUGUCAAUAAUUUUUAUGUAUUUUAGAAAGAAUUGCUGGAAGCUUAGUCGUGUUUACUAAGGAAACAAAAAAAGAAAGAUAUCAAUUUUUGAAUGGUGGAAAAGUCCUAAUCCGAUAAAAAAUACUUUGUUCAUAAGGCAUAUAUGGAUUUAUAAAUUCUCAUACAAAUAUAUAAAUUUAUCUGCUAUAUAUUUAAAUAUAUGUAGUUAUUUGGAAAAUUAGUUCAUGAAUAAAGCUCACAGACAGUAACAACUGGAACAAAAAAAAGUAAAAAAAUAAGCAAAACAUGAUCCUAGAUUAAAAAUGGAUAAAAUAUAACCAUAUCUAUUUCUAAGAGAUUUUAUCACUAACUGUAUAUUAUACUUUAAAAAUUAAGUAGCUCUCAUUUUGUGCAUCAUGUACAUACUUUUUCACUUUAUGUUUCAUGUGACUUUUAUCAUAUCAUUUUUGUUGAUUAUGUUAUUUCAUUUUAAAGAUUCUGUGACUACUUUUAAAGCUAGAAACUUCUAUUGAAUAUUUAAAUAUUUUCUACCAUUUAAAAAAUAAUAAGUGCUUCUUUGGUAAAUAAGCUUGUAGAUGAAGCUUUAAAUGACUACACAAUUCCUCAUUGGCAAUAGGAUAUAGACAGACUUUCAGAGUCCAGCCCAUUUCCCUCAGUCUCUCAGCAUUAGCCACAUUGGACAGAUGUCCAGUCUGUUCAUCAAGUGCUUCAGCUUUCUUCCAUCUGGAUGCUUUGUAGGAAUGCAGCUCCUUGUCCCCCCGCCAUUUUUGAGGUCAUCAGACCACUUUUGGCCUUUAUCAGACUGUAUUCCAGAGUGAGAAGAACAAAGCAAAACCGUCCAAAGCAAAAUCAGCUCAAAAUGGCUAUGAAAUAAGGAGAAAUAAUUUUUGAAACCAUUAACUUGCUAUUUAUUUGUUACUGAAGCAUAGCACAGCCUACAUUGAUUGUUACACUGUCUUUUACAUUCUGAACACCUUUUUCUUCCUUGCCUUUUUUGUACCUGCCAUUACUUUUGGCUGCCUCUUUCAUUCUAUUUAUUCACUUCUUUAUGGCUCAGUGCAACCUAGGAAAUUGUUACAGUUUGUGUCUAGAUGUUACCCCAAAGCCUCAUAGGCUAUUUUGGAGGUGUCUGAAUCUAGAGUGUGUGAUUGAUUCAUGGUGAGGCUAGGCCCAAGGGUAGUGGGAUUAAGGGUGUGAGUGCUACCCUCCCUAAGUAGUCUGAGUAAGAUAAAAGGGGCAGAAAGAUGCUGUUAGGUUCUCUCAUUGGUUUUGAUACCUUGGGGUGCCAUGAACUGUUUAUCCUCUGCGAUGCUCCUUUGCAAUGCCCCUCUCCCAUGUGCCACUCUACCUUGGAGCCAGAUGAUUAUGGACUGAAACCUCUAUGAACUGUGAGCUAAAUAAACCCUUCCCUCUUUACCUUUGGGUGUUGGGUAUUGUCUCAGCAAUGAGAGAAAAGUAACGAACACAGAAAUUUUGCUAGAAAUCUGUGAUUUCUCAGUUUUCUCCUAUUAUAGAACUUGAUAUAAUUGCAAGUUUAAGUCACUUACUUUAUUAGUAUGCUUGCAUUUUGUAAAUUCAAAAGUACUGUAUACCUUGCAGAUGAGAUGCAGGUAUUUUACAAAGUUCUCAGUACAUAAUAGACACUCAAUAAUUAUUUCUUUAGUGAUGGAUAGAUGCUGAGUCAUGUUUUGUUAUUUUCUAACCAAACUGAUCUCUGGUAAGGCUUCAUACCACAAAACAUGAAAGUGACCAUUCUUCUGGCUUUUAUCAAUGGCCUGCCGUUUUAGAAGCAAAAGAUCUCAUUGAUCAUUGUUUUAAUUUUAAUUUCUUUUGAAUGGGUUAAAAUUUUUAUUGAUUUAUUGACCAUUUAUAUUUCUAGCGGCCUAUUCAUAUUCCAUGCUUGUUUUGAGUUGAUUUAUUAUAUAUAAUUGAAAGUUGCUGAAUAAUGUAAAUAGUGGGUAAAUUCAACUUUCUUUUGCCCUGGAGAAAUUGAAUGAAUGUCUCUUUUCUCUGUAUCUCUGUGUUUCUCCAGAAUAUUAUCAGAGUUCCUAUAUCACUAAACUUGAGAUUAUUGAAGCUGUUUAGCAAGGAUAAGGUAUUAUUUUUGACUCCAACUUCACUAAUUUUCUUUUCGUAUAGUGUCUUCGAGAAUUUCCAAGGAGGUUCAGGUGACCAACAGGAAAAUAUUUCUACAUUGUAUGGCUCAUUGUUAUGAAAACAUCAUUAAAUCACCAGUUCCUUAGAACCCUGAUGCAGUAUCUUGUCCAGCUGUAGGUUAACUCAACUAGCUACACUCAGUCCAUUAAACACAAACCAAAGCAUGGGAACAAUAACUGGAUCUUUGCUUUGACAGUUAUGACCUGACAUUCCAAGAACUAAUUUUAACUUCUUUUCUCUGGAUCAAAGCAAUUCAAUGGGAGCAAACUCAUGUGAAAUAAAGCAAAUAUAUUCUCAUUUUGUGGUGCCCACUCCUUGUCAAAUUCCAUCCUUUUGUUCUAUAAAGAUGUCCUCUAUAAAAUUCACAAAAAUAGGCUUUUCAUCUAGCUUUUAUAUGUUCACCCUUGUAAAAUACAUCUUGAUUUCUUUAGAUUUGUAGGAAAUGUUAAUUUCAGGUGCAUCUUAUUUCCUAAUGCAAAUGCUAUACAUAUACUGUCAAAGAUGUGUAUACACACCCCUCUAUUUGAUCCUAACCUCUACGUAAAAUUCCAGUGGAACAAUCUUUGUGCUGUUGAACUUCAUGGCAGUCUGGCUCUCCCAACACAAGGAAAUCUUUUUUUUUCUUUUCUCUGAUGCUUGCAAUGUUUUUCCUCUAAAAUUUGUUUUAGUUCAACAGAUUUCUCUCUAUCAGUAAAUUACACUUACAGAUUUAGACUAUUGUCUGUUAUAGAGAUGCGGUGAAGGAAUUACUAAUAAAUACUUUAUUGAUAUUGUGCAUCGUGCCAGAAAACAGAUAACCUGCAGAGAAGACCCACACAGUGUCACCAGACUGAUUUAGCUGUCUUUUCACCUGAGUGAGUUCACCCUUUUAGUUCCUGCCACGAUACCUCUUGCUGUCUAUUGGGCUGGUCCACAAUGUAUUACUGUUCUACAUACCACACACAUGUGCUACAGAUGCUCAUUUUAAAUUUUGGAACUCAACUGUAAUAAAUUCAGCACAUUAAUAUUUGGUUAAGAUUAAGUUCUGGGAGACUGUCAUGGGAAAUCCAUCAGUCAAAUUCAUCUCUAACCAGGCAGCGAUGAUUCCAUUGCUACAAAAUAAACCCUUGUUAUGCCUCCCCCUCAGGCUCACAAUCUUUUCUAUUUCUUCGUGAGUAAGAUGUAAAUUUAAUCUGCACGCUAACAUUUGCUUACAAGCUGUGCAGAAGAACUCAGGGUUUUGGUAAAACAGAUCUUUGAAGGAGACAUGUUAUUAGCUAUAUAAGUCAAAGUGGACCCAAAUUGCUCUUUGCCUUUCAUUUAGACUGAGUAAUUAUUCCUUUUCCCAGUGUUAGGCAGUCAAAUUCUAUCGAAGUUAUUGUGUUGAGGAUAUGACGUGAGGCCUGGGGGACAUCUAAUUUCUGUGUUCUGGCCAUAGAAGAAGACAGUGUCCUCAGAGAAUUGAUAGGAAGACACCAAAUAGAAUUAGGCAAAACAGUGAGGAAGAAACCCAGAGAGGUUGAUGUAUGACUGUGGGAUAUGUGCCAGAGUGAGAGAGGGUGACUAAGGACUAAGUCAGGUAGAUAGGAAUAAGGUUGCAGGAAAAGACCUCUUAAGACCUUUGGGAAGAAUGCUGUUAGGGAAGGGCAUUCCAUCAUGUAACCUGGAAAUCCUCAGCAAGCAUUUCUUUUCCUGUAACUUUCCUAACCCCUUGUUUUUUCCUCAGGCUCUGGGCAUCUCAAAGCUGGGAGCUGACACUGGUGUUCAUGCUGCUUCUCAUGGUCUUCUCCUUCAUCAUGGUCUGCCCUGCUGUGUGAAGGUUGUGGUCCUUUGAGCUCAUGUUCUUCUGACAGAGCACUUUCUCCCUCUGGUUUUCUCAUCUUCACAACUCUGGGCCCCUCCUUUCAUUUAUCUCAGACUUUACAACUGGUCCUUAGAUUUUCUCUACAUCCCAAUUCUUGCUAUUCUCAAGAAUAGCAAGCUUCACAACACACAUAUCUUUUCUUAUCUCCUUUCUUUCAAAUCUCCUUAGCUACACAUUCCCACGGUCCCUUCUUAGACUUUGCCACUACCUGGAACUACCCAACACUCAGUCUCUCAGUCACCCUUAACCACUAUGUUGACUAUGUCCAGAUUUUCUGUUCAGCCCAAAGCAUAACACAUGGCUAUUAUUAUCUUCAUAGACUCUUUUCCAUCCUUUCUUCCAAUUAAUCUAUUUUCUUUAUCUCUCUUAAUUUACAGUUCAUAUUUCCAAGUUCAUUAUUAUAAUAACAUUCUUGCCAAUAACGCAGCCUAAUUGCUCUCUUUAGUCGUACUUUUUCAUUGACUCAAUUUAUUUAGCUUCUUUGUGAUCACAUUAGAACACACAUGGCAGAUAUAGUAUGUUCUCUUUUGAGUUACACAUAUUGGUUGCCAUUUUCAUAGCUUUUCCAUACUUAUUUUUUAUCUUGUUAAAAUGUAUAGCCUUCUCACUGUCUUUCUCUGCUUGAUGACCAUUUCAAAUAAUCAUUGCCCUUCUCCAAUUUCUAACCUUUACUUUUCUUUUAGUAUCAGAUGAUGUCACUUCCAAUUAAGUCCUAUCUUUCCACCUGGGUUUUGUAUCCCAUCACUUCCAUUUAUCUUAUUAAUCUGAAUUAUUUUUCCCUUUCUUUCUUGAAUACUUAUCCUGGAUUCUUCCCUUUACCCUUUAAAUAGACUUAAAUAUCCACACUAGAUAUUAGCUAAGCAACCCAGCUCCAAUCCAUUUUAUAUGUCAACUUGGCUAGGCUAUAGUAACUAAUUGCUUGGCUGAAAACUAUUCUAGAUAUUGCUGUAUAGAUAUUUUGUAGAUGUGAUUAACACUGAGUAUUAACAAAUUUAAAUAAAGCAGGCUACCCUCCAUAACAUAAAUAGGUCUCAGAUUAACAGUAAAGGACCUUAAGAGCCAAGAUGGUUUCCUUAGGAAAAAGGAAUCCUGGCUCCAAACUAGAGCAGAAAUUCUGUCUGAAUUUCCAACCCACUCAGAUGCUCUACAGACUUCAGAUUUAGCAACCUCUAUAAUCUUGUGAGCCAAUUAAAAAAAUUCUCUCUCUUUUUCUUUUGUUAUAUGUCCAUCUAUCUAUACAGAUUGGAUAGAUAGAUAAGUCCUACUGAUCCUGUUUAUCUACAGAUGGAUAGAUAGAGUGAUCCUAUUGGUUCUCUUUACCUACAUAUGCCAGUCUAGUACAGUACAAAACUUUGAAAAGCCAACAGUUGUAAGGUCCUUUCUGCUUAAGCAUGUACAUUUUUUAUUGUUGCUAUCACUCGUGGACUUUCGACUUUAGCUCUUCAGUUUGUAGACCUAACAACUCUCCCAUGAAGUUCCAGUCCAGACUAGUUCCUCUUAUUCUGAGACUUCCAGAUUCUUGGACUUAUCAGCUACUUACUGAAUCCUCCAGCUCUCCAGAAUGUAAAAGGCCUCUGUGGGACUAUCUAGGCUAUGAUGCUAUAAGCUAAUAUAAUAAAUCUUCUUUUAUCAUUUCAUAUAUUCUACUGGUUCUGAUCCUCUAGAGAACACUGGACAGUACAGCUAUAAAAUAAAAAAGGAUAAAAAUAUGGAGAGUUCUGUAUUAUACUAAUAAUAGCAGAUGGGCUGAAGGUAUGCUGAGAUAUCAGUUAUAGUCAGUUGAAGUAUUGCAUGGAUUCGUGGAUGCCAAAAUACUUUUGAUGGUAAUAUUGUGUAUAAACAUGUAUGUGUAUAUUCCUUCAAGUAAUUAAAAGAAAGGAAUUAGAAACUCAUAUCCUGAGCUUUUACAUAGCUAAGUGUUUAAAUAGUGAUGUAUUUGCAAGGAGUAUUGAUGUAUCACACAUCAUACUUUGAAAAUUUCUACCAGAUGAAUUGUCAUCAUGUCUAGUGUUCACACGUAGCACUGGAAAAAAAUCAGUAACCAUGAGCUUGUGUUCCGUUUGGACAAUGCUAGGCACUUGUCACAAUCUUGGCCCCAAAUGGAUUUCUAGGAGGUAGCUAUCCAGGAGACAUCAUUGCGUUUUUCCAAUAUCCAUGGACCAAUUUUUGUUUUACUGAGUCAGAGACCUGGCAGAACCCACAUCAGUGAGUGGAUCUGAGUUUUCCACUGCAGAGAGGGGGCCAUAUCUCAACCCCAAAUAGUUGAGAACCAUCCCUGUCCUGAGAGCUCCUGGGAGAAUAUUUUAGAAACUUAGCCAUUUAUUUAGUGUCAAACAACUCGCCUCAUUAAGUAAUUCUUCUGUAUAUCUACCCUCUGAAAUCUGAGGCUAAGCCUGUUUACACUGUUGUGCCCCAGAAGAGAUGAGGAAAAGUUUGCUUACCAUACAUACAAUCAUGCCCAUUCAGGUCCUUUCACCUUUGUUUUUUUGUUUUUGUUUGUUUUUGUUUGGUACUGGGGAUCAAACUCCGGUCCUUGCGCUUGCAAUCCUUUCACCUUUGUCUCUUCUGGUUUAUAAGACAGUUUCAGGUUUCUUCACUUUCUCUCACUGGUGUAUAUCUAUUUUGAACUUUACUUGGAGGUCUUGAAUAUCCUUGUAUUUUUUUGUUAAGCAAAAAUUGUAUUAGUAUCAGGAAAGUAGUUUAGCCAGAGGUCCAAAAUCCCCUGAUUUUUACUCAGAGGCUAACUCAGAGGCUAAUGUACUUUCUUCUUCACGUCAAUAAACUCUCUCAGAUCUCUCCAUCAAUACCUAGCAUUUCUAGAAUGCAAACUGUCAACAACCAAGGAUGUAUAGGUGUUCAGUUAUUUGGAGAAAGAAGGGAAUUGUUAGGAGAAAAAUAAAUUGUUUUAUUAUUUUAAAGGCUUAAGAGUGAGAAUAGAAACCAUGUUGGAUUUCUCAUUCCCUGCAGGCAGGCGCAUUCUACUACCUAUCACUAUCUAAGUGGGAGUCUGGAUGUAGUUAGGUCUGUGGUCAUACCUGAUCUUAAGGGUUUUUGGUGAUGCAGACACUAAUCCUUAUGGCUAUCCACUGGUGGUUCAAGCACAAGAUUGUGAGAGUCCUAAAUUCAGCUGGCUUGGACUUCUGCUUUGUGAGUGCAUCCUCCUCACCUCCUGAAACACCCCCUCUCUAGUGCUAUUUGUAAGAAUAACAGAGCCAACACUUACUGGGAACCUAUAAAGUGCAAUGCAUUUUGGUAAAGGCCUUACAUAGAUUACAUAAUAGAAUUCUCUCAACAAUGUCACCAAGUGGGUGCUGUUCUCCCAUAUAUUUUAUUGAUUAAAAAACUGAGGCAUAGAAACAGUUAACUUUCCCAAAGUCAACACCUACAAACUCACAAAGUUUUAAAUCCAUAUUUUUUUCCUCUAGAAGCAUGGAAUUAAAUGCUUUACCUUCUAUUUCCUUCUGUUUGUUAAUUAAUUGAAAUCUUUCCAAUUUGUGUUAGGUUACUAUUUGUGAAUGUAAAAUUGGUCCCAUUUUUUACUCCUCUCUAUUCUCAUAUCCUUUGCAAUGGCACAUGGUAGAAUUUCUCUUCAAGAGAUGGAUCUAUUUCCUUACUUUCCUGGCUGUGUGAUUGUAUCUUGGCCAAUAGAAUGGAGAGAAUCAAUCAAUGCCACCCUGGAGCUCCAUAGAUCUUGGGUUAUUCUGAUAUUUUUCCUUUUUUCUUUUUCUUUUUUAUUAGUACAUGUUUGCAGUACAUAGGGAUUACAUUUAUCAUAAGAAGUUAUUGCAUAUAUAUAGUAAAUCUUUUCUUUUUCUCUCCAUCCUUUCUCCUCCUUUCCCUUCUCCCUCCAGAAACCUGUUUAUUGUCCAGUGAACAAGCCUAGAACAGGCUGCUAGAAAUCAGAUACCUGGUGGAAAGAACUCCAGUAGUACUAUCUGUAUUAGUCAACUGUCCUGUGGCUGAGACACAAUACCCAGCAUCCACACUUGAAGGAGGAGAGAGAUCUCUGAAGCCAAGAAAAUUGACACAAUGAAGCAUAACUGUGAUACCAUCCAAGGUGACCUGCAAAAGCCAAGGCAGAGAGUCCAGCCUGAAUCAGAAGGACGUUCCUAACCUGUAACAGGGGUGUGAAUGACCCAGGACCAUGAGUGACAGCUGUCCUGGAACACCUUGAGAAUAGUAAUGAAUGUUUUUUAUUUUAGAAUUCUUGGAAUUUUCUUAUGUAACCAACUUAACAGAUGCAUCAUCAUGGAAGUCAGAAGUUCAAUUUGCUGUCUAAUUUUUAUCCUCUAAUUACAAUUCAUUCUUCCCUUUGCAUCUUCUUUCUUUAAAGUUAUUUUAUGUAAUUAUUUGAACAUUUUAUUGUUAUUUACCAUUAUUUUCUACUACAAUAAUAGAAAAUAGAGAAAUAAAUGUACUGGUGGCAAGAGUAUCAUGAACAUAAUACAAACCAGAAAAAUAAAGAACAUUAUGAGUCAAGUUAAAAGUGGUAAAUCAGGGCCGGGGAUUUAGCUCAGUGGUGCCACCGCCUGCUUUGCAAGUGCAAGGUCCUGAGUUCGAUCCCUGGUACCAAAAAAAAAAAAAAAAACAACAACCAAAAACCCCCAGAAAAAACAAAACAAAACAAAAACAGUAUCCUAGCACCACACUGAACCAAAACUUCAAUCUAGCAGAAUCUUUUGAUCUGAGUUUCAAGAAAGAUAUUCACCAAAUUAAAGGCUUUGGGGUGAACAGAACUGUACCUAUUCUGAACUUCAUAGUCUCUGAUUUUUAUUACUCAUAUUUUCUGUCAUCUUUGUCAGCAUGUAAAUUUCUGGAAGGUAAAUUCUCUGCCUUAUCUGUCUAUCUCUCAUACAUUCAUUUAUGCUGCUUUCAUUGAACUGAAUUUGUAGUGAGUAGUUCUCUUUUUGUCAAAAUAUGUCUUGUGCACAGAUUUAAAUAAAGCUGGCAGACCAGUUACUUCUAAUUUUAGGAUAAUAUGAAAUGUGUAACCUUUACAUUUUCUUUUGAUCUUUAUAUGCAACAAAAGUAUAAUCUGAAAAUUUCUAACAGGCAAUUUUUCUGAAAUUGCAAUGUGUUUUUCUCCAUUGUCAUCAAAAUAGAAAAACAUUGGCUCAAUUAGUUUCCUUAAAAACAAUGCUGGGAUUGAAAUAGUUUUGGAAAUAACUUAUUGGGGAAUAACUUUUAGCAGAAAGUAAGUGAAGGAAGCAUGACGGAGCAGAGGAAAAGCUAAGCAAAUGUGUUACCUGGCUAAACAUAAUUUUCAGCCCAAUCCUAUCUAUGGGGGGUGCUGGAUCCUAUAUUGUAUCACAGAGUUAGUUCCACUUUGAGGCAGAUAGGUCAAAUACCUGUGCAGCUUCCCAUGCAUAAUGUGUCUCUGUGUAGUGUGCAUGCGCACACCUAUGAGUGUAUUCCAAGGAUACUCUAGAGAAGAGGGAAGCUAGGAGUCAUUAACUCUCACAUUAUCUAGGGAACUGAUGUACUGGCUCAGUGAAGAAUUCUUGGCCAAAUACCUUUAGCAUUUCUUGAACUUUUCUUAGGAAGAAAUGAAUGCAUAGACUCUAAUUGUUCAGGAACUUACAAGGUUAAAACAGUAGCUAUGUUCAUGUAAUCUAAGGUAGAGGAAAGAACAGUCAACUCAACAACUGAGAAUGUACUGUGUUUCUGUGUGAAUAGAUGUAAAGAAUGUAUAGAUGCUCACAGAAACUUAUACAUAAAUGUUUGUAAACAGGUUCUACAUAGAUGCAUACACAAAAGUACACACAUCCCUGUAUAAAUAGAAAAAGUUCUAUAAAAAUACAUCAAAACUCAGUCAUAAUUAUCAAAGAUUUGUGGUAUUAAAAGUAUUGUUUUUCUCAGUUUCACAUUUUUCUCAGCUUAGCAUGUAUGGAUUAAAUAAUUAUGAAGAAAAAUGUUGGAGAAAAUAAUGUAGAUUACUUUUAAAUUUUUGUUUUCUGACAUGGAACAUAAACAGGUUGAAUGAGUCUUUAAGGAUUUCUCCAGAUCUCAAUUUAUCAGAUUCUGAGUCAAUAUGAAUUUCAUGAGUAAAUGUCUAUUAUAGAUGGAGAAUAAAUAAAAACCUUCCCUUUAAGCACCAGAGAACAAAUCAGGAACAAAGAAUCCCAAGGAUAGCUCCUUUUACUGUAAGAGGAAAAUUUCUCAGUUUUUACUGAAAAUCACCCUUAGUGGUUUUUAGUAUUGUUUGCAGUGGGGAUUUUCCACUGUAGCUAAAACACCUAAAACAAGAAGAGCUUGCGUGGUUGCUUUCUGGUCAGUUUGCAGAGAUGAGUGGAAAUUUUCAUAAAACAUAGCUCUGUAGAAGAGAGAAACACAGCAGUUGAGAUGAGUGGGAGAAACCAGAGUUGAGAGAGAUUAAGAGAUUCUUAGAAUCUGAAGGUAAAUUGAAAGCUUUGUGUGUAGAAAUAGUUUCAGAAAGAUGUAUGUACAUCGUCUCUGAGAUCUUAAACUCAUUUACAAGCUUAGAGUGUUCAAUUUCCUAUUUCAGGCCUCAUGUUUUCUAUAAAUCUGCAACCCAAACAUUUAAUCAUUUAUUUAGAAUUUCUACGUGGAAGUCUCAUAGUCAUUUCAAGCUGAAUAUGGCCCAAUCUAGUCUUUAGUUUCCUUCAUAGCCUGGCUCUCCUCAGGCUUUUCCAUCUCUGUAAACAUUACUACCAUCAACCCAGUUUCUAAAGCCAGAUGCCUGAGAGUCAUUCUCCAUUUCUCCUUUUCCAUCAUCUUCCACAUCCAAUUCAUCAGCAACUCCUGUCAACUCUCUCUCCAAAACAUGCCUCAUACCCUUCUGUUUUUCUCUAUCUUGAGAACUCCUACUCUAUCUAUACCAACAUCAUGUUGUGCCCAGACUUCUGCAAGAGCCUCCAGAUUGGUUUCAUCAUUUCCAGUCUUGCCCCUUUUCUGCAUCAUAACCAGAGGGAGCUUUGAAAAACUGAAAAUCAGUCACUUUGCUUAAAUCCAUUGUUCUAGGAAUACUAUGGCUUCGAUAAAUAUCCCCCAAAGGCUCAUGUUUUAAAGACUUGGUCUCCAGCUCAUGGAACUGCUGGAAAGUAGUGGAAGAGGAUAGAAGAGGUAUUCAUGUUACUGGGCUGUGUCUUUGAGGGGGUAUUAGAACCCUUUCCUCUACUUUGUGUCUCAGCUGUCAUGAGUUGAGCGGCUUGUCUCACCACGUGCUCGCUACUAGAAUGUGCUGUCUCAUCAAAAGUGCAAAAAUAAAGGACCAAUUUGCUAUGAACUGGAACCUUCCAAAGUGUAAGCCAGAAUAAAUCUUUUCUAAGUUGUUUAUCUUAGGUGCUUGCUAUAGUAACCGAAAUCUCACUAACACAUAGAAUAAAAACUGUGCUCUUAUCCGUGACCCACAAAUGCUUGCAUAGCCUUGUUUAUUCUCCUCCUGAUUUCCAAUUCCCAUUCUGUUUUGUAAUUCCCAGAAGGUCUAAAUUUUUAAGUCCCCAAAUUCACUCACUUAGGCCACAAGGCCUUUUUCUACUCUUCCUUCCACCUGAGAUAUGUUUUUCUAUUGAUCUGAUCUCAUUGUAUUUUGCUUCUUUUGCCAGUUCUAAGCAUACAUACUACUUCAUCAGAAAGACUUUUCUGUAACAUUCCUAUUAGCAAUAGCACCUUACUCUUAUUCUGUGUGAUAAUACCCUGUUAUUUUUCAUUUAGCAGUUAUUAUAGAUUCUUAUAAUUCUUCCCAGCUUGCUCCACUUGAGUAUGUGGUCUCAGCAGACAGAGACUUUGCAUUCUUUGUGGGAAAUGUACUUUCUACGAUAUGCCUGGCUCAUAAUAAAUUUUUGGUAAGUCUUUGUUGAAUGUAUGAAUAGAUGUGUGUGGGCAUGAACCUCAACUGAUAGGCAAUCCAAACAUUUUUGACUGUGACAAGAUCAUAAUAUGUAGAAUAAUGUCUUUAGAAGUAGUUACUUGAAGAUCAUUCUCAGUUGGAUAUAUUAGCUCUAAACCUUUAGAGAGUUUACUUGAGAAAAAAACACAUUUGUCUAUUAUUAGAGCUCUGUCUGUAAGGUAUCAGUGGAAUGUACAUGUAUAUAUGAUGCAAAAAGCCUUGCUCCUAUGGAUUUUACUAUAAUAGAGUCAUGUGUCACUUAAAGAUGUGCACCAAGAAGGCAGAUCCAUUCUUGGGACAGGAGUGCAAGGCAAUUUCAUCAUUGUGGAAACAUCAUAGAUGGCUAUGAGGUCACUUGGCGAUACGUGCAAUACAUUUGUUGACUGAAGCAUUGUGAUGUGGUGCAUGACUACUUAGCUGUUCAGUUGGUAUCUUUAAAUCUCCAGUGUGUGUUCUGAGAGUCUUGAACUAAUGAGAUCCUGGUAAACAGCCUGAAAUGGACUUUGCAGAUUCUACAUAAAGCAUCAACUGAUUUUCUCAGCACACAUUAUCAAAUUCCCUUCCCAUUUAAAGUUUGCUUUUUAUCAGAUGUAACCCUUUCCUGAGCCUGUGUUGUGAAUAUUUACAAAUGAUGCAGUCUGUGAGUAUGUGAGGAAUUUCCUAAUUCUAUCUUACAUAAUAUCAGACUUAGAAAAGUGGUGUGUGUAAAGGAUUUUCCCUGGACCCACAAGAUGUAGAUAAUUAUUGCAUGAAAGUUAUUGUUCCUAUGAUUUUAUGUUAAGUACUUCCUCUAAUAUACAGUCAAAAAGCUUCAUGUUUUGCUCUUAUUCAUCCUUUUCUCAGUCUUCACAGCAACCUGUGUCUGACUCAGAACCUAAUUGCUAAAAUCUUAGUCCCAUUAAUAUUUUGUGUCUGAUAAAUUACAUUAGAGUCAACUGAAUUUAAAAGUCAUUCUAAAAGACCUCUGAAAGAAAUAGCUCCUGGCAAUUAAAAGAUAAUUUAUAAUCAUCAUAUAUUGACUAAGGUUGGUCAUAAUAUUUAUAAAUAACCAUAGAAACACAUGACUAACAGGUUCUACACUGUUGCUUCCAAGCCUCCUUCCCGCACCAAGGGAGUCAUAUAACACAGUCUGAAAUGCCAGCUGAUGGCAAGCAUUACUUACAGUAUCAAGAUAGGAAAACUAGACCUGCUGUACUGAUUCCUUCAUGGGUCAUUUUGCAAGCUACCCAGGCUCAACCUCACAGCCUCCUGAUGACUGGUGGUUGAUGAAACCAUAGUCCAACUAUGAUUGCUUAGUUGAGCAAAGGGAUUUCAAAAACAGCGUAAAUAUUUUAAAAUAGAGUUACUUUCUAUUCCAUCCUGUAAAGAUAAUAGAGGCAAUCUUCACACAUGGUAUGGAGGCUGCCCAUCCAGGUUCAAAAUGAAUGUAGUAUGAUCUCAGAUGAUGAGUUAAAGGCAGAUUGUGAGUGGUACUGGGCAGCUGCGAAGCCAAGUGUCAGAGGACGGGUGCUCUUUGGGAAAGCUGUUUCAGCCUAAGUAAGCCUGUCCUAUGAAGUCAUACUGGGAAAUGCAUGUCCCCACAUCUUUUAUCAAAGAAUGACUUCAAAAGGCCAGAAACAAGUGCUGUCAGGCAUUGGAAUGCAAUGAAAGCAAGCAAGUUGGCUUUCCAUGAUCAGAAAUGUUAAAACUCAUGUCAGUUUUGAUGCCAGACAAGAUGACAUCUAUCCAUUUAUUCCUGACAUUUAUGUCAAAUUCCCAUAUAUUUUGGCUUCUAAGUUAUGUAUUGAGGAUAUGGCAGUGAACACAAAAUAUGGUCCUGGCUUAAAUAUGGAGGAGGUAUCUAUAUGUUAAAUAAUUAGCCCUCAUGACAAACAACGCUAUAAGCUUUAGUUAGUAAAGUGUUAAGAAUUAAAAUGUUCAAAUUAGAAAUAUAUUGUGUGAAUAUAUUCAUAUAUUCUUAAAGGGGAAAAGUUCUGAAUUUUAGGGUCUCUGAGUCUUUUUAGUCUUCUAAUAUAAUAUUGAGAAGGCACUGAAUAAGUAUUAAACAAAAUUAACAAAGUGAAUCUUUUCCCUUGUGUUUUGGAUGAGUUCUCUGUUUUUAAAAUUAAAGAUUGUAACUUGGAGGCUAAUUUGCUACUACUCUGUUUCAGGAUUCUUCAAAUACACAGGAGAGAGAUACAAGGCCACUCUGUGUGUUUACAUAACAUGUUUCUUUCCUGAAAAUGUGUAAGUCAAAGACCUGAUUUCCCUUUACCUUGGAACACUUCAGAGUGUGUUUUCUAAAAACAAGGACAUCUCCUAAACAGUCACUGUAUAAUGAUGAAAAUCUGGGAAAUCAAUAUGUGCACAAUACGAUUAUCUAAUUUAGAAACUCUUCAGAUGGUUUCAGUUCCUCCAGAGUUAUUUUUCUGGACCAGAGUCUACUCCAAGCUCCUACACUAUCAGGUCUCUCUGAUGAUAAUGUAUCUGAAAUUAUUUUAGGUGUUUCUUGGUUUCCUAUGACUGUAGCUCCUUAGGAGAGCACAAAAUACUCACCAUAGUCAUGCUGCUUAAUGAUAAGAAACAUGCAAAACCCUCAGAAUCACACAGAAUCAGGCUGAAUGUAACAUGGCAGGAGCACCACAGAGUGACACCGAGUUCCUCUCUGUAUCAAGCUCAAUUUUGAAAUUUGAAAUCAUAAGUAUCAGCGAGUGUGACCUGGACAAAAUGUAAUAACUUUUAUGAAUUUCAUUAUCUUGAUCUGCAGAAGAAAAAUAUUAAUUAAGCCUCACGCUACUGCUAGAAAAUUAUGUAAUAAGGUUAAUUACUUGUCUCAUUGGCACAAGUGAAUUGCUAAAGUUAUGUUGCUAUUACUAACUCUGUCUUAGAUGGUAGUCCUUCAGUAACUGCAGUGAUUGAUACUGAGGUUCCUUAGUAUAUCACCAGGAGAGUAGCAAAAGCUUUCUGAUUUGUUAUUAGUUUUGGCAAAACACUUGGCAGGAGGGAGAGGUGGCUGCAAUGACUGUUUCAUGUGAAUCACUCGGCCCGGCAGACUAAUCCUGUCCAUGAUAACUCAUGGAACCCUGGGCUUCAAGUCAUAAUCCAGUAAUACAGUCAAGUAAAAAUAAUUUCCACCUGGCCUUAGCGAGCCAUUUGGUUGAAGAAAAAGUGGCACAAUUUGGGGCCUAUUUGAGGGAAUGACUGAAAGCCAUGAGAUACUCCAUCACACUUACCUCAUGCAGUGGAACUUAAUUUUUUAAGGGUUAAUUGCCUCAGACUAAAAAGAGGUCAUCUUGGCUUAUGUUGUCUUUCUGAAACUAGAUUUUGUUUUUAGAGUAGUUUUAGAUGCACAGAAAAAUUGUGCAGAAGGCCCAAAGAUUUUCCAUGUAUCUUUUUUUUUUUGCACUUUAUUAAAUUCUUUUAUUGGUACAUUGUAGGUAUACAACACAAUUACAUUUCUCAUUGGGAAUUGUACCUUUAUAUAAUGCAUCUUGGUUCUUAUUUUUUCCCCAUUCCUAGCCCUCCCUUCACCCCCUCCACCCUUCCCUAUUUACAAAGACUUUAUUUCCAUUUUUUCCAUUUCUCAGCAUUUUUCCUUUCCCUUCUUUCCUUUCCCCUGCCCCUCCCGCUACCCUUACCCCUUUGGACCUUUUCUUCCUAUUUUGAAUUAUCGAUUAUUCAUUCUAAUCAUUGGUACAUUUUAGGUAUACAAUAUAAUGACAUUCAUCAUUGGAAAUUUGCACCUUUACAUAGUCUCUCUUGGUUCUUAUUUUUCACCCUUGCCAAGGCCUCCCUUCAACCCCUCCAUUCCUCUCUAUUUACAAAGAUUUUGUUCCUAUUUUUCCAUUUUUGUGUAUCUUUUGUUUUACACACACAAAGCUUCUCUCCCUUCUAAAAUCCCCAACAGAGUGGUGCAUUUCGUUAUAAUACAUAAACCUGUACAGCUCACUCUUGAUGUUUUACAUUCCUGGGUUUUGACAAAUGUAGCCAUUAUUUUAGUUCAUACAAUAUAAUUUUACUGCCCUAACAAUUCUCUGUGCUCUAGUCUACUCAUUUCUUCCUUUCCCCAACCCCUGGCAACCACUGAUAUUUUUACUGUAUCCAUAGACAUGGUUAUUUCAGAAUGCAUAUGAUAAACUACCUUUUCAAAUUACCCAAUCUGAGAUCUGGUCUUUCACUUAGCAACAUCUCUCUAAAUUUCCUCCAUGGUUCAAUAGUUCAUUUCUUUUUAGUACCUAAUACCAUUCCAUUGUCUGGAUGCAACACUGUAAUCAGAUUAAUAGGACCAGAUAGAUUUUUCACAAGACAAAUGCACUUUUCAAAUGUUUUUAUUCUUUUCAACAGGAGAAUUAUAGUUUUGAUUUUUGUUGUGUACAUGGAAAGCCAUACUUAACUGAUACUACUUCAAAGUAAAAAUAAGAUGUUCUUGCAUUCUAUAUCAAUAAACUUCCACUUUGCAAAACCCUUGCACUUAACAAAAAAUGUUUCCAUGUAAAAAUAGUAUUUAAGUGGUUUUUCUUCAUUUCAUCCUAUUUCCCCACUUCUCUUUUGAGGGACACUUCUUUAAAUCAUUGUUCAUAGCAGUUAUCAUCUAUUAUUUACCUAUUAUUUUAUUCUUCCCAAUUGCCUGAAACAAUUCUUGUUUAGGUCACUAUACAUCUCCAUUGUAUGAAAUACUAUGACCAUUUUUUCAUCUCCUUCACCUCUCAGCUGUAUUUGUCUCAGUGGAACACUUAACUCUUAACUGAUCCACUCUUUAUUCACUGGUAUCUGUGAAUAGGACUACAAGCUUAAUGAAAGUCAAUUGUGAACUAUUUCCCCAAUGUAGCAUAAUGUCACCAUAUAGAUGUUCAAUAAUUAUUAUAUAUAUGAAGUUUCCACAGUCCUGUAGCAGGAAUCAUUAUGUUCUUUACUUUCUCAGCUUGAUUUUGCAUAGUAAAUUUUUGCUAUAUUUUUGAUGGAAAAGUCUGAGAUCAUUAGUAGCGUAUCCAGGCACUGAAAGGAAAGCUAACAAUAACUGAGUCACUAGCACUGUACUAAAUGCUUUAUGUGAAUCAGACCAUUAAAUUCCCUUCAUAAUCAUGAAAGAUUUACAGUUAAAGGGUCAAAUGUUUAGAAUUAUUCAUAACAUCACAUAUUCAGUAAAUGGCACAUGUCCUAUUUGAAUAUGUAUCUGAAUGACUUCUCUGUAAGCAUUUUUAAAUUAGAGAAUGAAUAGAAACCUAGAUAUAUCAACAACCUGUGAAGUGUCAUUCUUUUAAGACUAGGGUCAAGAAUCUUUCAUUAUAAAGGAUCGUGUCAUAAAUAUUUCAAUAUUUACAGGAUAAGUGAUCUUUAGUGCAACUUCUUAGCUAUUCUGUAGCAGAACAAAUGUAGUCCUGAUAUCAAAGACUUUCAGUGUUUUUAUGUAUAAAAACAGAUAGCAAAAUUACAAUUUGACAAUCUAUUUUUUAUUUUUAUUGAAGCAUGUUUGUAGUACAUUAUGAUUACAUUCAUCAUGGGGAGUUGGACAUUUCUCAAUUCUGUUUCUAAAUCUUCUUCUCUCCCUCCCCUUCCUACACUGUGUUUAUAGUAUAUGGUGAUCACAUUCCUCAUAGGGACUUAGUACAUCACAAUCCGCCUUUUCACUUAAUCUCCUUUCCUCUCCUUCUUGUCACCAAAAUGUCACCCAUUCUAUUUGGAAUGCAUUACUAAAUAGAGCUUACUGUGAGUUUUUCAAGCAAUGAGGCUGAGAAAAUGUAGAUGACUUGCUGAAGUGGUAGGUUUUGGAAAAGUGUCUAAUUCUCUGGAAAUUAAAUUUAAUACUUUUUCCUAUGUAUAUGAAUUAUAUCCAUUUUCGCACUUGUUGUAAUUGUAUUAAUUGUUGUAUUCUUUUUUCUUUUGAAUUUUUAUAAUUCUACUUAAUAUUAAAAUUUGAUGGCCAGUUUAUGGAUAAAUGUAAGGAAAUCAAUAAAGGAAGCACUUAAUAUAAUUUAAAAUACUUAAAAUACAGUCAAAAUGUGACAGAAGGGAGGUUUUAUAGAAUAAGACUGCAUCACUUUAAGAAACUUUCAUGUGAAGAUAGUUUCAUAGCUAUAGGAUUAAUUAAUUAAUAUAUAUUUUUUGGUACUGGGGAUCAAACUCGGGACCUUGUGUUUGGAAGGCAGGCACUGGAACCACUGAGCUAAAUCCCUGACAGGAUUAAUUAAUUUAAAAUUAUUAGAAGAUAAAGAUUGACACAUUAGAUUAAAAAGCAAGGCCAACUAUAUGCUGUCUACAAGAAAUUAACUUCAAAUAUAAUUAUAUAGGCAGGUUGAAGGUUAAAAAAAGAUAAAGGUAAAUCAAGCAAAUAUCUCUGAAAAGAAAGCAGAAAUAGCUAUGUCAAUACCAGAUGAAGUACACUUUAGAACAAAUAGUACCACAGACAACAAGGGGCACUGAAUAUGCUAAGAGGGUUAAUCGACCAAGAUGGCAGGGCAGUCCUAAAUGUGUAACACACUAAACAACAAAAAUUUAAGCAUGUGAAAUAAAAACAGAAUGGAAUAGAGAAAUAGUCAAACAUACAAUUAUGGUUGGAACUUCCAAAUCCACCUCUGAGAACUGAUAAAAUAACAUGAAAAAAAUCACCAAGGCUAGAUAAGAUGUCAACAGCAUCGUCAAUUACUAUCUUAUUGACAUUUAUUGAAAGUGUACUAUCAAAAUACCCAUUACUUUCAAGUACUCACAGGAUAUAUGCCCAGAUUGACCAUAUCCUGGGAUAAGAUAAAUAAACCUCAACAGAUUUAUGAGUGAUUUUCAAUCACAAUGGAAUGAACCUGGAAAUUAAAAGCAGAAGGAUAACUUGAAAACAAAACAGUAUCCCUUUAAAAAUAAUCUAUGAAUUAAAAAGGAAUUGUCAAGGGAAAUAAAAAUUAUUUAAUGUGGUAAAAUUAAAAUAGGAUCUAUCAAAAUUUGUGGAUAACUGGUAAGCAGUACUGAGAGGGAAAUUUAUAGCAACAAAUGCACACACCAGAAAAGAAAACGUUUUUCAUAUCUAUCACCUAAGAAUCCAUUUCCAGAACCUAGAAAAUAAACCGAGAGAGAGAGAGAGAGAGAGAGAGAGAGAGAGAGAGAGAGAGAGAGAGAGGAGAGACAGAAAGACAGAGACAGAGAGGAAAUGAUUAUAAACAAAAUAAUAAGAAAGGAAACUAGACAAUCAUUGAAACAAAGCUGAUUUUUAAAAAGAUUGACAACAUAGAUAAGUUUUUAACAAGAUUGCAAAGAAAAAAGAGAAGACAUUGAUUAUCAAUAUUAGUGAUGAAACAGAGAUGUCACCGCAGUUAUUUCAGACAACAAAACCAUAAUAAGGGAGUAACUUUAUUCACACACAGUUGGCAGUUAGGUGAAAUGGAUCAGUUCCUCAAAUAGCACAAACGCCCAGAACUCACUCAAUAUGAAACUGAUAAUUUAAAGAGCUCUAUAAAUAUUAAGAAAAUUACAUUUGUAAUUUAAAAAUUCCGCAAAGAGAAGCUUCUAGGUCUGAGUGCACUUAACAAAGAAAUUCCCCAAAAUAAAUACCAAUUCUACAUAAUCCAUUCCACAAAAUAGAAGGAAUAAAAUACUAUUUCUCUUUAUGAAGUACUCCUUCCAUAAUACAAAAAUCAAUCAGAGAAAGAUCUAAAGCAGAAAAUUGAAGAUGAAUAAAACUCAUGAAUAUAGGUGCAAAAGUCCUAGCCAAAUUGCUAGCAAAAUUCAGCAGUUUAUAAAAAAUAAUUUACUCCAUGAUCAAUUGGAAUUUAUUUCAAGAACACAAGACUAUUUCAAUUUUAGAAAUCAAUGUAAUGUAUCCACUAUUUCAACAAACUAAUGUGAUAUUCAUUCAUAAUAAAGAAAUGAUCAUAAACUCAGGAAUAGAACGGAAAGUGCUCAGUUUGAUAAAAAUUAUGUAUGAAAAUAUCUACAUUAUAUAUAAAGGUGGAAAACUGAAUUCUUUCUUCCCAACAUCAGGAUGAAGGCAAGAAUGCACACUUUUGCCACUCCUAUUAAACGAAGGGUAAUAAGUUCUAGUCAGUGCAAAAAGGCAAGAAGACAUGACAAAGGACAUCUAAACUGGAAAGGAACUUGUCCUUUUUAUGGCUCAUUUCUCUAUGGAGAGUAUUCAAAGAAACCUACAACAAAUUUCUGGAACUAAUAACAAAGGAAGUUUUCAGAAUACAAGAAAACUAUCAGUAAUAUUUUUGUAUCUGACUCUUGAUCACAUAAAAACUGAUAUUAAAAAUACAAUAGCACUUAUAAUCUCUCUCUUAAAAAAGAAAGCUACUGAGGUGUAAUCUAAGAAAUUAAGUAUAAAACUUGUGUGCUACAAAUCACAUAACUCUUAUGAAAGAUAUGAAAAAAGUAUAAAUAAAGAGGAGAGGAACGCCACGUUCAUGGGUUAGAAUAUUCAACAAUACAUAAAAAUUGAAUCUCUUUAAUUAAUAUUUGGUGUUCAUGAAACACCUACCAAAUUCUCAGAUUUUUUUCUAGCUGACACUAUUUCAUGUGUCAUAUUUUGUACAAAUUAACUCAAAAUGGAUAACAGACUAAUAAAAUAAAAAACAUUUUUUGAAACAAAAACCCUUGAAAAUCUUCAGGAUCUGGGAUUAGAGAAAAUGGUUUAAAACUUGGCACCAAAAGCAUGAUGUAUAAAGAGAAAAAGCCAAAAUUUUGACUUAAAAUUUUAAAAAAAUUUGCUCUGUAAUGAUCCUGCAAAGAGAACAAAAAGACAAGUUACAGACUGAGAAAAACAUUUUUGAAUCACAUGUCUAACAAAGGCCUACUAUCUAGAAUAUGUAAAAGCACUCUCAAACUCAACAGGAUAAAGGCAAAAAUACCAAACCCCAAUGUAAAUAGGCAAACUGUAUGAGAUAUGAAAAGGUAACCAGAUGACAAAUAAUCUUCUGAAAAGAUCGUUGUAAUCAUUAGACAUCAGACAAAUGCAAAUUGAAACCACAGUUUUCACAAUACCUACUAGAUUGGCUGAAAUUAAAAACAAGGAUAAUGCAAACUUCUGAAUUAGACUUAAAUUGGCAGUGGUGCUGUAAAGUAGUACUGACUGUCUGAAAACAAUUUCUUAAAGCAUCAAACAUAUUGCUAUUAUAAGGUCCACAAUUGUAUCCCUAGUAUUUAUAGCAAAGAAAGGAAAACAUAUCUACACCAAAACCUGUACUUAGAUGUUAAUAGAAGCCUUAUUCAUAACAACCUGGAAACAGCCAAGGUUUUGGAGAUGUUAAGUUGUGGUAUAUCCUUACCAGGGCAUAUCUUUCAGCAAUAAUGAUAUGAACUAUUAAUAAAUCCAACUAUCUGGAUGAAUUUCCAGAGGAUUAUGCUAAGUGAAAAAUCCCUCCAAAGUUUAUGUAGUAUAUUAUUCGAUUUAUAUAACUUACUUAAAGUGAUGAAACUUUAGAAAUGGAGAAUGGGUAUGUUGUCACAUAGGUUAUGGAUGAAAGGAUAGGAGGGAAGUGUAUGUUUGGCUGACUCAAAGUCAUGGGACAGGAUAAGCCACUCUGUCCUCAGUUAAAGGACCCAAUAAAUUCCCCAGGCAAAGGAUAUGGAUGGAGAGAAAGGUGUGAAGAAUUGAAAUAAUCUACAGUGUUCUACAUUCCAUACCUCCAGACACCCUGUUAAUUUUUAUGAAACAAUUUGAUAUGGUUAGAAUUUCUUUCCUUUUGUUUAUGAUUCACUCCAUGCAGUCUGUUUUCUAGUGGUCUUGAGUUAUUUCCUAUGCCUGUACACACGUUAUAAUUGUCCAUGAAAUUCCACUGUGGCUAUACCUUUUCCUUUCCCUCAGUGAUCAUUUAAUGUCUGGCUAAGAUAUUAACAUGUACAUGAAGCUUUACCUAUGUAGGAUACUUUGUAUCAAUGCAACACAACAAACCAAAAGUAGGAGCAAACUGUUUCAUUUUAUUAUAAUCCACUAUGAUUGGAUAAGUACAAUCUUAAAACCAGCAUGGCUCAUUGUAUGAACUGUCAGCCCUACUAGGAAGUUUUAUGAGUUAAAAAACAGAAAAUCUUCAAGAGAAAACAAAUACGAAUGCUUAGGGAUUGGGUCAUAACCUAUAUAACUGUGAGUAAAAGUGUGGAAAUAUCAUACAUUUUGAAGCCACCCACUCAAAUUUACAUCCCAGUCCUGAUAAUUUCACUUUAUUUUUUUUUAUAAACCUAGCCAGAUUAUUCACUUUCUGAUGAUGCUCUUUUCUCAUUUCUCAUAUAUUUUAUAAGAAUCAAAUGAGACAUUUAAUUAUGUAAGUUCUUUAUAUAAUUUUAAACUUAAAUAUAUAUUACAUAGAAAUUAUGUAAAGCAAGUGACACAAACAUUUAGAAGUACUCAAUGUACAAUUUCUCAUCUUUCAAACAAAACAAUAUAAAGUAACUUGUGAUAAUUCAGUCUUCCCUUUAGAAAUUUCCUGUUGCCACUUUUACUUGGAGUUAGUUUUCUACGCGCUCCUUCUCACAGCAGAUCAGCAAGUGUCCUAUGGCCCACACUCAGGGAGGAGUAAGACACUGAAACCUCUGACCACCAGUGAUAAUGGCGGUUAGCUUGUGUAACAUCCUAUGUCUGACACAUCUGUCUCCCAGCCCAAGUGGCUGGCUAAACACAGUCCAAAAAGCCUCUGUAAAGCUUUUGGUGACAUCUGGAGAUGUGCUGAUGUUUGAUGUCCGCAUCCAAUCCAUCAAAGACGUGUAGAGCAACCACAAGUCUGCUAUUGUCUGCAUACAAUUCAAAGGCAUGGCCCUUGGGCCAAAAAUAAUUUGGCAGAUUCAGGAGCAAGAAAGAAGAAAAAUGAAGGUGGUUCCAACGUGACCCUAAAGCCACCCAGUACCUUGUUCUGACAUUGCUGAACUACUCAGAGGCUUGUUGCUAGUUUUUUAGAGACUCAAAACAACCCUCUCAUGGCUCUAUGAAAGUGAUUUAUGUGCAGUAGAGGAAUAUCACAAAGCCAGUUAUGCAGCCAAAGAGAAGUGAGUUGUUAACCUCGGUGUGUUGGGUUUUGGUUUGUCAAUUAUGUAAAGAAGCUCUGGACAGUGUGCUUGUCCCUCAAAUAUUAAACACUUGGCAACCUGCCACAUCCUGUGGAACUGAGAUCUUGCUUUUGAUUUGAAAAGCAGCAUCAUAGUUGAGUUUUCACUUAAGUGACUUUCAACUGCUUUUGAAAAGCCUGAAAUUGAAUGAAAGUAUGUUUUACCAGGUGUUUUCUAAGCAAGAUUACUCAGAAAUGUGCCAGAGGAGUUGGGAACUGAUUUGUUCUUAUGUAUAAUCAUAGCUGGACUCUGAAAACACAUCAUAAAAACAGAAAGGCAUAUAAAUCUAUAAUAAGCCAGUUUUUUAGAUUUUUAUAAGAACAUUUUAUACUUGUAUCUCAACUUGAGUGUAGCCAAAUGUAUUUAUUAAAUUAAGCUGCAUCAAGUAAUAGAAUACCAUGAAGGAACUGUUUAUUAUUUGGGGAAAAGUCUUUCUGCUAAGGAUAAAAAUGAGAAGAAAUACUUGCUUGUGUGCGCUCAUGAAUGUGUCAGCAUAAUAAAGUGAAAGAAAUUGAUAGACUUGGUUCCUUACAGUAGAGAUCAUCAUACAGCAUACUAUUAAUUAUGGAUGCUCUCCUGAUGAACAUUUGAAAAUAAAAGAAAAAGAUCAUAACUUGGUAGAGGCAAAUUGCAGUUCCAAUGAAGCUGUGCCAUGUUGGAGCUAGGCUGCCCUUUUAGAAUUGACCUAGUUAGGAUGAGAUGCAUCUUUGUAAUCCUCCAGCUCUGAAGAAUCACCAGUUUUUUGAAGAAUCACCAGUAUGGUUACUUGGAAGUAGUCAAGAUCUUGGACAAAGCAGUUUCUUCAGGUGAAGCAAUUCCCAAGAAGGGUUGGUGUGGGAGACUAUAUUCUGCCAGCGAAUGAAGGAAUAGUCUUACAUUCUUAAAGGGAUAUUUGAACAUCACAGGGCCACCACACUAUAUCAUUACUUUUUUUUCCUUUGCAAUUUGAGUCUCCAGUGCAUAAGGACUACUUCUGUCACUUCAUAUUUUAAAAUCAUUAAGCAAUAAACAAAAGUGACAAUGCAUACAUAUUUGCUCUGCUUAUAUUUUUAAAUGAUAUUUACUCAAGCAUGUUAUUUCAUAUUAAUUGUUUAUAUACUCAUUGAAUUGAUCAAAUACACAAGGUGUUGGGAAUUCUGUACUUUGGCUAACAAAAAAAUCUCCUUCCUCAUAGAGGUUACAAAAGCAUUUGUGAUUAAUCUGAUCAAGUACAAUUAGAGACAGCUCUAACUCGUCUAAAAGAAAAUUUAGGUUCCUGUUAUAUGCCUUGGUAUGUGAAGACUCUAGCCUCUACCAAGUUAAUUUCAUAGAUUUUGUAUUUGCCCUUGCCUAACAAUUAGCAUUACUUUUCAAAUCAAACCUGUUGGCUUGUGUUAAAAACCCAUCAGUUCCUCUCCACCACUUCUCAAGAACCAUCCAAAGCUUUGGUCUAACAUAUGGCAUUACUUGGAAUAAUGUUAAAUAUGUGAAAUACGGUGUUAAGGAAGAUCCAUCCUAGAGUAUUAAUACUUUUCUCCAAAAAGUUAAGUAAUAGAUAAUGAUGAUGUUUUAUUUUGUUUCUUUUCUAGAUAUCAAUUCAGGUUGUAUUUUAAUUAUUUGUUUAUUUAAUCAUUAUAGACUAAACAUUUCCCAGUUAAGUUGCAUGAAAGGCCAUUCUCUGCAUAUUUUAGAAAACCAGCUACUUCCUCCCAAUUGACACUGAGUUGAUGAAGCACAGUACAUUCUAAAUUAUGAAAGAAUAGAUUAUUUAAAAAAUAAGGCAACCCUUCCCAUUAUUAACUCUAACUUAUGACAUAUGCCCCUUGUACAAUGGCCUCUUAUUUGAGACUAUAACAAAAUAAAAACUUUUCAAAAGCAAUGCAGUUUUUCCUAUUUUCUAUCAUCAGAUAAAUGUGAAUAUGUUGGUUAUUUGGCAAGAACAUAAUUAUAAUUUAC
ensembl:lncRNA